UGAUUAUGUGGUUGCUAAUGUGCACCGCUGUGGACAUAGCGCUAGUGAACAGGAUAGUGGUGGAAAAGCGAUAGACAACAGCUAAGAUGCGUUUGUUGCCGUUUUUUCUCUGGUUUUACGAAAAAUGAAUCCAUCGAUUUGAUACAAAAUACACUUUGAAACGGAGGAAAAAAUAUGAAGGAACAGAAAAUGCAAUCACCUCAGGUGAAAAAAUCGUUCAUCAGACAAAACGCUACUCUUGUUAUCUUUUUACCAGCAUUUGUGGGAGUUCAUAUAGGUUGGUUUUUAUAUCAACAGCGUUAUGUACCUGAGGAGGAAAGACACGAUCAUCCAAUAACCAAAUUGUACAAAAGAUAUAUUGCGUAGAGAAAUGUGAUAUCUAAUUUAUCCACGUGUGUUACUAGUGCAAGAAUGUUAUCUAUGUUUGUUUUUUUACACAAAUGGAAUAAUGUGCGUAGUUACGCUUAGAUAUUUUUGGACAAUUUACGGUGUUUUUACACCGACUUCUUCAGUNUAUCAGUGUUUUAACGAACAUACAACUCCGUGGCUUGUACCCAAACCACGGUUUAGGACUUGUGUUACGAUUCCUAUAGACUUAGAAUGGCGUAUGGACUAUCUUGAAACGGUCCUUUGAGCCAUAUAUGCACCAAACCAAACACAAAUGGAAUAAUACAAGUUUGUUCCUUUUA